rnacentral:rRNA from 5 species
GUCAUAUGCUUGUCUCAAAGAUUAAGCCAUGCAUGUCUCAGUACAAGCCAAAUUAAGGUGAAACCGCGAAAGGCUCAUUAAAUCAGUUAUGGUUCCUUAGAUCGUACCCACAAUUACUUGGAUAACUGUGGUAAUUCUAGAGCUAAUACAUGCAAACAGAGCUCCGACCGGAGACGGGAGGAGUGCUUUUAUUAGAUCAAAACCAAUCGGUGGCGGGUUCGCUCGUCAUCGUACAACUUGGUGACUCUGAAUAACUUUACGCUGAUCGCACGGUCAUCGCACCGGCGACGCAUCUUUCAAAUGUCUGCCUUAUCAACUGUCGAUGGUAGGUUCUGCGCCUACCAUGGUUGUAACGGGUAACGGGGAAUCAGGGUUCGAUUCCGGAGAGGGAGCCUGAGAAACGGCUACCACAUCCAAGGAAGGCAGCAGGCGCGCAAAUUACCCACUCCCGGCACGGGGAGGUAGUGACGAAAAAUAACGAUACGGGACUCAUCCGAGGCCCCGUAAUCGGAAUGAGUACACUCUAAACCCUUUAACGAGGAUCAAUUGGAGGGCAAGUCUGGUGCCAGCAGCCGCGGUAAUUCCAGCUCCAAUAGCGUAUAUUAAAGUUGUUGCGGUUAAAAAGCUCGUAGUCGAAUUUGUGUCUCGCGCCGCCGGUUCAUCGUCCGCGGUGUUAACUGGCGAGUCGCGAGACGUCCUGCCGGUGGGCUUAGCUCGCGAGGGCGGCCCAACUCAAUCCUGCCGCGGUGCUCUUCAUUGAGUGUCGAGGUGGGCCGGCACGUUUACUUUGAACAAAUUAGAGUGCUUAAAGCAGGCUAAAACUUCGCCUGAAUACUGUGUGCAUGGAAUAAUGGAAUAGGACCUCGGUUCUAUUUUGUUGGUUUUCGGAACCCCGAGGUAAUGAUUAAUAGGAACGGAUGGGGGCAUUCGUAUUGCGACGUUAGAGGUGAAAUUCUUGGAUCGUCGC